GACACCGGGCACAGGAAGGAAUAAGUGCACUUUCUAAUGCGACUCGGCCUGGGUUUCUGUCCCCUGUACCCGCGAGACCACACACUCUGUCAGGAGACUCAGGACACAUGCGAUCCCUGUCCGGGCUGCUCCGGCCAUCCCAGCUGGAGAGGCCAGGAGGAAAGCAGAAGGCGGGCGGCUUUUGCCUUUUGGAGCAAGUGACUGGAGCAAGUCACCAUUUGCCCCAAGUGGGGCCUUUGGCACCUCCACAGUCCUCUUGACUGGAACACAAAACCCCGGUCUUUUAGCCCUAACCAGAAGCGAAGCACCGAUACGUGUCACAACUUGGAUGAGCUCGAAAGCAGGGGCCCCAUCGCGGCUGGCUAGGACCCGCCGGCUUCAGCCCCUUUAAGACGACCUUGGAGGACCCUUUUUUUCAAAGCCCGGGCGACUCUCUGGCCCCCGCCUCUAUGGUGCGUCGGCACUUCCGGCCGGAAGUGCGUGUGGCGCGCGGCUUCGGCGCAGGGGGCGUGGAGUGAGCGGAGGCGCGCGCUUCCUCGUGGGGUUCGUCAGAAAACGAGAACUUCCAGCCCCCGGCGGUGAGACGCAGGCAGGUCGGGCGGGGCGAGCCCUCCGCGCUCGGGGCGGGAGUCCAGGUGAGCUCGCGGGAAGAUCUGUGUGCGGGGUGAAUGGUUUCUUUCCUGCCUGCUUCCGUGUACCUGAAGUGUAAUUGUUGGGGGCUUGGAACUUUCCAGCUUCCUUGGGUUUCAUUUACUCAACCAUGUAGCUUCUGAAUGCCAACCUGCUGAAGACCCUGUUUUGUAUGGAUACAAAUAAAAGGGGUCAGUCCCCAAGGAGA